rnacentral:lncRNA from 1 species
AUGCAAGAGCACAAAAAUCUUAUAAGAAAGUGAAGCUUUAUUAAAGAGACACUGCUGGGAUAAUUUUCUUCAAUUUUGAUUUCUGGGCAUAUGCUGAACAUCUGUCUCUACAGGGAACAUGACAACUCUGGGAUAGCUGUUUUAUCUCUAGGAAGUCUUCAAACAUCACAUGAAUCAAGUCUACUGAGAGCAUACUGCACAAAGCUUAACAACACAAUUUCAGAACAGUAAAAGAAAAUGUUUUUGAAGGAAAAGUGUUUCUGCC